rnacentral:sRNA from 1 species
ACAGCGGCAGCGGCGGCUGCGGCGCGCGCGAGCCGAGUGUGAGCGGAAAGGGGCCCGGCGUCUGCCUCGAGACUGAAGACCGAAGACAUGAAGUAGAAACAAUCCAGGCAGGCUUUGGGAAGUCAUUUGUGUGCGAGAAUCAAAGUGAGCAAGGAAGCCACGAGCGGCUGUGCCGGAACGCGGCCGUCUGCCCUUACUGCAGCCUCAGGUUUUUCUCGCCCGAGCUGAAGCAAGAACACGAGAGCAAGUGUGAGUAUAAGAAGCUGACCUGCCUCGAGUGCAUGCGCACCUUCAAGUCCUCUUUCAGCAUCUGGCGGCACCAGGUUGAGGUCCAUAAUCAGAACAACAUGGCACCCACCGAAAACUUUUCUUUGCCCGUUUUGGACCACAAUGGUGAUGUGACUGGUUCUUCAAGGCCCCAAUCCCAGCCUGAGCCCAAUAAAGUAAACCACGUCGUCACCACAAAAGACGACAACGUGUUCAGUGAUUCUUCAGAACAAGUCAACUUCGACUCGGAAGAUUCCUCUUGUCUCCCUGAAGACCUUAGUCUUUCCAAGCAACUGAAAAUCCAAGUCAAAGAGGAGCCUGUGGAGGAGGCUGAAGAAGAAGCACCCGAGGCCAGCACAGCCCC